AGAAUGUUCUCUGAAUUAGAAGACGGCAGGAGUUGGUACUUUGGGUUAAAUUGCCAGUAACGGCCCUCAGAGGGCAAGAAGGAGACAGGAAAUGAUAAGUCUGGAAGAGAGAUAGGAGCUGUCAUUGACAGGGGAAGAGGAAAAGAGGAAGGUGUCACCAUGAGACUCAUCCUUCAAAUUGCUCCUGGGCAAAAGAGGUCCAUGGUAGAUAAGAGGAUUCUCCCUGUCAGUGAUUUCUAAGUUCGUCUGCCUGUUUGAUCCACCUGUGCAGAUUUAAAAAAAUACAAAUGCCUAGUAAGGAUGAAAUUCAUAGACCAUGAAAUAGAUAUUUGGGGUGUAAAUUCCAGACAUUAGUUAAAAUUGCCCCAGAUCAUUUCAAUGUCCAGGCCAAGGAGAGAACCAGUGGUGUGAGCUCUCCAUUUAGCAAUGACACAGGGGUCUGUCCACUUCUUAGUGGGAACUCGGGGUCAUGGAAACUCAUCUUUAAAACUUUGAAUUUGGGGACUACAAGUAAAGCUCAGAGGUAGAGCAUGUGCCUAGCAUGCAUGAGACCCCGAGUUCUGUCUCUGGCAUCACAAAACAAACAAACAAACAAACAAACACCACAUUUGAAUUUGGCCUUUGGAUUUGUUAAGACACUGUGAGUACCUUGUUCAGGGCACUUGCUUUGGAAUUGGCCCUUCCCAGGCCAACCUCAUUCUGAAGAGCAGCACUGCCACCUCCCCUGAGCACCCGUGUUCUACCUGCCCACACUUGUAGCCUUGGAGAAAACACAGUAAUGCCCAGGCCAUCCGACACCGAGCUUCAUGAGUACUCAAAGAACAGACAGCCUGGCCUCUUUACAGCCUUUGCUCAGUUUGAACUCUCUGUAGUUAAGCAGAAUGGAGGCCUUCCAGAAAAAAUGGCCCUUUUCAUUCCUCUUUGGAAACAGUGUAUGUGCCAGUGGAGAGGCCAGGCACUUUGAAAUCAAAUGUACCUGGCUUCAAAUCCCAGGCAUUUCCUGGGCACAUGACUUUGUCAAUUACUGUUAUGGUUUGGAUGUGGUGUCCCCCAAAAGCUCAUGUGCAAUGCAAGAAGGUUCAGAGAAGAAACAAUUCUUCUCUGAAGAAUUGUUGUGUCCAGUCAGUGAGUUAAUCCCCUGAUAGGGAUUAACUGGAGCCCGACCCCACAAUAUGUAGAUUGGAGCCAACUUUUUCUUCUAUCAGACGCAGAGUCUCUGACUUGGUAUCAAGCUCCUUGAUCCAUUUUGAGUUAACUUUUGUGCCUGGCGAGAAAAAGGGGUUCAGAUUCAUUUUGUUGCAUAUGGAUUUCCAGUUUUCCCAGCACCAUUUGUUGAAGAUGCUAUCUUUUCUCCAUGGCAUGCUUUUAGCCCC
rnacentral:lncRNA from 1 species